rnacentral:rRNA from 1 species
UUGAACGCACAUUGCGCCCGCCAGCAUUCUGGCGGGCAUGCCUGUUCGAGCGUCAUUUCAACCCUCAAGCUCUGCUUGGUGUUGGGGCCCUACAGCCGAUGUAGGCCCUCAAAGGUAGUGGCGGACCCUCCCGGAGCCUCCUUUGCGUAGUAACUUUAC